GUCGCUUCUCCACUCGGUAUUCAGUGACGUGGCCAUUCUCUGUGCUUUUCUCCUUUCUUCCAUGGCGUUCCGUUCCUGGUUCUCUCGCUUCAGUCCCUCCCACAGGCACAUCGCCCGAGCACUCUCCGCCAUCAGCUCCCGUGAACAGUGCUCUUCUCUUUCUGAAACCCUACUUCCCAAGCGAAGCGAUCGUCGCUUCCCCUGGCUCGCUGCUCUUCCUAUGGCGGUUGCUCUCGCGUCCGGAGCCGCCGCGCUCGACUUCGUAUAUCGGGAUCCGUCCCUCUGCGAGUCUUCGCAAGGGCUUCAACGAGUUGGAGGCAAAGAAAGUGGGAGGGUGGUGGUCGAAGGACAUCCUCGGCGUGCGCCGCAGGAGCUCAUUGACGAACUGAAGUUGAUUUGUGAUGGUAAUUUGACAUUGGAUUACGAGGAGCGAGAUUUUCAUGGAAAACCUCAGCAUAGUUUUCAUAGAGCUGUCAAUAUUCCUGAUGUGGUUGUCUAUCCAAGAACUCAAGAAGAGGUCUCAAAGAUUGUUAAAGCUUGUAACAAAUAUAAGGUUCCAAUUGUACCGUAUGGUGGUGCUACAUCAAUUGAGGGUCAUACAUUGUCUCCAUUUGGAGGUGUUUGCAUUGACAUGGCAAUGAUGAAGAAAAUCAAAUCAUUACAUGUUGAGGACAUGGAUGUUGUUGUUGAGCCUGGUAUUGGGUGGAUGGAACUGAAUGAAUUUUUGAAACCAUAUGGACUUUUCUUCCCACUCGAUCCAGGACCAGGAGCUUCAAUUGGAGGCAUGUGUGCUACUCGUUGUUCUGGGUCCUUGGCAGUAAGGUAUGGGACAAUGCGAGAUAAUGUCAUCAAUCUUCAGGUUGUUCUAGCAAAUGGCGAUGUUGUUAAGACUGCAUCGCGUGCUCGAAAGAGUGCUGCCGGCUAUGACUUAACAAGGUUGCUGAUUGGAAGUGAAGGCACCUUGGGUGUAAUCACCGAGGUGACCCUGAGACUGCAAAAGCUCCCUGCAUAUUCUGUGGUUGCAAUGUGCCAUUUCCCAACAAUCAAGGAUGCGGCUGAUGUUGCAAUUGCCACCAUGCUAUCAGGAAUACAGGUUUCAAGGGUGGAACUCUUGGAUGAGGUUCAGGUAAAGGCAAUCAAUUUUGCCAAUGGAAAGAACUUGCCAGAGGCCCCCACUUUGAUGUUUGAAUUUGUAGGCACUGAAGCAUAUUCACGUGAACAGACACUGUUAGUCCAGAAGGUCGUUGCAAAGCACAACGGCUCUAAUUUUGUUUAUGUGGAAGAUCCAGAGGCUAAAAAAGAACUGUGGCGGAUAAGAAAAGAGGCACUCUGGGCAUGCUUGGCAAUGCGACCUGAUUAUGAGGCAAUGACCACUGAUGUUUGUGUUCCUUUGUCACGUCUUGCUGAAUGCAUUUCGAGAUCAAAAGUUGAACUUGAUGCCUCUCCACUGCUCUGCAUGGUAAUUGCUCAUGCGGGUGAUGGAAACUUCCAUACAGUGAUCUUGUUUGAUCCGAAGAAUGAAGAGCACCGUCAGGAAGCAGAAAGGCUGAGCCACUUUAUGGUUCACACCGCAUUAUCCAUGGAAGGGACCUGUACAGGAGAACAUGGCGUUGGUACUGGGAAAAUGAAGCUAAUUAUCUGCACAACUUUAAAACAUACAUGAGAGGAAAUAAUGGCUGAUAUGCUCUUGGUAAUAUGACUAGCACUGUGCAGGCAGUGCAAGAAAGGUCAUCAUGGAGUGUAUGCUGGAAAUCUUUGGGCAUUUGAAGCAUAGGAAUGAUGCUGCCAAGGAGUGUUUUCUAAGGGCAUGAAGCCCCAGCUACACAAACAAAAACGUGGAUCAUUGGUUUCCAAAUAAAGUUGCAAACUAUUCUGCAAGUGAUGAAUGGGUUUCAAAUAAAGUUAAAGAUAUCAUCUUCAGAAGUAAUUAAUUGGUUUUCGUAGAGUAACAUAUCGGAGCAUUUGGAUCUGCAAUAGAGAUGACAUGUUUCAUGUAGGCUUGAUACAUAUGUAGAAAUGCCUUUUUGUUUUUAUGCAAGGAAACCACAUUCAGAUAGUGAGGCUUAGUUGCAUUUCCGGCAUGGCUAAUGCUCUUUCUCCGAGGGAUUAUACAUUCUUUGGCUUGUGCAGACUCAUAGAAAGUGGCUCCUGUGGGUUUUGAAUUCUUAACUGUUUUCUUCACAGUCAAAUCCCGACCCGCUACAACUCCCUGGAGGAGUAACUACGUACUACUUAGAUACAGAGUAUGACACUGUAGUUUGUACAGCUGUCUAACUGAUAAUGGAAUAAGAACCCCAUGCUAUCCCUGGCGUAAUUGUGAGAGCUGAUAAUGAUAUUUUCACUGCUGCAGAUUCUGUUUGAAGUUGAUGGCUCCAACCUUCAUGGGUCAUCUAUUGUAAGUUAUGCAUGUAGAAGUAUUGUAAACGGCGGUGUGUAUCAGGCCUUAUUGGCCAGUACGUAUCAUUUUGCCCGUGGGUCGCAAUGUGAUGAGGCCUGAUAUGGUCCUAUCAUUUAUCGGCCGAUACAAACCCAAUAAGUGCUUUAUCAGCCCAUAUCUGAAAUCUGGCAGUGUUUUUUAUUGUUAGUUUUUAUGAUUUUUUUUGGAAAAUACAUUUAAAAAAAUAAGAAAAAGUAUUAUGUUAAUGAUGGCCAAUACAAUCGGAUAUGCCAUACCAUUCAGUCUCCCGAUACAAUUUUACGACAUUAGUUUUUAGCAUUCAUAGUUUUCUACAUCUGGUUCUGCAUUGCUUAGAGAUGCAAAGUUUGAUUAAUACGUAAUACAAUUAAUCUUGGGUUCAUGCUCUUCAUUCAUAUCCAAAUAAAAACGUGGUCUCCAUCUGUUGUGCAUCUAAUUUCAUGUUCAUGCUUUUCAUGGAACUAAUUUCGUGUUCAAUGUUCAUGCUUUUCAUGCAAAUUUAAGUAACUCACAGGUAGGCUUGUGACUUCGCAAGAUAAUUUGCUGCCUUGAAACUUGAAACUUGCUUGUUUCUUCGAUCUUU